UACGGGGGGAGCAAGCGUUGUUCGGAUUUACUGGGCGUAAAGGGCGCGUAGGCGGUCAGCACAAGUCAGUUGUGAAAUCUCCGGGCUUAACCCGGAAAGGUCAACUGAUACUGUGCGACUAGAGUGCGGAAGGGGCAACUGGAAUUCUCGGUGUAGCGGUGAAAUGCGUAGAUAUCGAGAGGAACACCGGUGGCGAAGGCGGCGAUCUGGACGAUGACUGACGCUGAGACGCGAAAGCGUGGGGAGCAAACAGG
rnacentral:rRNA from 1 species